CAGUAGCCGCGGUAAUACGGAGGGGGCUAGCGUUGUUCGGAAUUACUGGGCGUAAAGCGCACGUAGGCGGCUUUGUAAGUUAGAGGUGAAAGCCCGGAGCUCAACUCCGGAAUUGCCUUUAAGACUGCAGAGCUAGCAGGUGAGAGAGGUGAGUGGAAUUCCGAGUGUAGAGGUGAAAUUCGUAGAUAUUCGGAAGAACACCAGUGGCGAAGGCGGCUCACUGGCUCAUACUGGACACUGAGGCACGAAGGCUAGGGGAGCAAACGGGAUUAGAGACCCCAGUAGUCCCUGUCUCUUAUAC
rnacentral:rRNA from 1 species